rnacentral:rRNA from 1 species
AUUGAACGCUGGCGGCAGGCCUAACACAUGCAAGUCGAGCGGAAGACGGGAGCGUGCUCCUUGAUUCAGCGGCGGACGUGUGAGUAAUGCCUAGGAAUCUGCGUGGUAGUGGGGGACAACGUGUCGAAAGGAACGCUAAUACCGCAUACGUCCUACGGGAGAACGCCGGGGACCUUCGGGCCUUGCGCUCUCAGAUGAGCCUAGGUCGGAUUAGCUAGUUGGUGGGGUAAUGGCUCACGAAGGCGGCGAUCCGUAACUGGUCUGAGAGGAUGAUCAGUCACACUGGAGCUGAGACACGGUCAAGACUCCUACGGGAGGCAGCAGUGGGGAAUAUUGGACAAUGGGCGAAAGCCUGAUCCAGCCAUGCCGCGUGUGUGAAGAAGGUCUUCGGAUUGUAAAGCACUUUAAGUUGGGAGGAAGGGCAGUAAGUUAAUACCUUGCUGUUUUGACGCUACCGACAGAAUAAGCACCGGCUAACUCUGUGCCAGCAGCCGCCGUAA